AGAAAUCAAUCUAAACUGCAGAAAGGUGUGACGAGGGCAAAAAUGACCCAAAAAGUUGGAAAACUGCAGAAAUGUUGUGAGAGGGGCAGGAAAACAGCAAUCCCAGGAGAUUUUGCAUCCGUCUUUGAGGCCUGUGGAGAGUUGGAGCUUGAGAAAGGUUUGGAGGGAGCGAUUGUGGCGGAGUUUGGCUUUUUAGAUGGGUCUUCCACGCUGUACGCAAUUUUACAUAUUCAUGCGGUAACCAGGAACGUAACCCCUGGGCAAGUGGAGAGACACAUGUAUUUAUUGUAAGCAGGUGAAAACAUGGUUACUGGACACUGCCCUAAUCCCCUCCAUUUUCUACUCGUUUUGCCCCUGUUGAAUUGAAUUGGAUCGGCUAUAAAUUUGCCACAUUUAACCCAUGACAGCUCUUGGGCCAGUUGAGUGAACAUCAGUUGGAGGCUUAUAGGCCAAGUCCACCAUCCAGAAAAUGUGCAUUGGCUGAGUCUGCCCACAUAUCUAAAUAUAAGAACCAGGUGUCUAAAAUGGUAUGGGAGAGCAAUCCAGUCACUUUCUCUAGUGUAAAUGUACACUGUUGCAAGGAUCCCAAAUCCUCAGUGUUUAAGAAAUGAAGGCUUAGGCAGUAAUAGAGUCAUUUUGGACACUACAGGGUUUAACACAUGAACUUAAGCAUCUCUUAUGGCGGAGCCUGAACCAUGCGCAUGUGGUUUACUCAGAAGUAUAGCUUUGCUUUCUUUGCAUUAUAUGUGGCCCGUACGUUCUUAAUAUAUGUAGAAAAAACAAAUAAGGCACUCUUCACCAAUUAGGUUAUCUUCAUAUUUAAGACUGCUAAUUUGGUCCAUGUGACAAAAUUAUAAUUGACAACCACUUUUGAGCACGUAGCUCUUAAGAUUUUAGGAAUGUCAUUGUGGGAUAGAAUAAAUCAAAUGUACAUACUGCUUACAAAAAUGUAGGUUUUACCUUUCUUACAUUCUCUUACACAUUUGGAAAUGUGUAUUAGUCCCAGCGCAGGGAUGUUGCUUAAAUUGACUCAAUUAGUUAUCCUAAAGGACAAAGUUCUUUUGCAUACUGAAGAGUGCAGUGACAUUAAAUUCUUUGCCUAGUCUCCAGCUAAGGAUCAUGUUGCACCCUUAUUAAAAGUGAUUUACAUAAUAUAGUGUUCUGUAUGCACACUCUUCCAUUGUCAUAAUAACCUCUCAUCCUCUUUGAAGAGAGUUCUAAUCUGCUUGAGAAAUAAUGAGGGGAGAACCAGGAUAUUGUAGCUCUCGCAGGUUUAAUGAAUGCAGCAUGCAUAGCUGUCAUGUUCUAUAAAAUCUGUAGAACAUGCUUUAAAACAAGCACUUAUUCCCAGAGAAUCCCACCCACCCAAUCACAUUUUGAAACAGAGAUCCUGUUUAGUCUCAGCUGAUCUCAGAAAUACAGCUUCUGGACUGUGGCACUUGUGACUCCUGGGUUCCAGUUCAGCAUGCUUUGGGUGUUAAUUCUUCCUCCUCCUCACAAUAGCUUGGGCUUUUAGGAAGCUCUACCAGUCCGUGCAAAUUGCAUUCAUGUCUUUUCUACUGCUCGAGUCCAUACUUUUAUUAUAUAUUCUUUUAAAUGGCCCUAUCACACAUUGAGGACCCCCUUCUUAGGGGAAUUUUUAAACUAUAAAUCAAAGAGCACAGUAACUAGAGCGAAGGAAAAUAGGAACUGUGUGCCUUUGGAAAUGCUGAUUUUUAAAAAAGAAA